AUUUAUUUUUCUCCUAUGGAAACUGAUAAAAUGCAUUACAGGAUUAGUGUAUUUUAGAUGGCGAGGGAAGAAAAUAAAGAAAUCUAUUUUUUCUGACUUACAUUAAGUGUGAGCUUACUCAGGUAGGACAUGAGCCAAUGAGAGCUUUUGAUUGGUUUCGUUAUUUAAUAUAAACAAACAGAUAACUGAGGGUUGUACAGCAUAGGUCACAUUUAAAAUAUUUUUAAAUGAAUCUAUUUUAUACUUUUCUUGCUGCACUUAAUUAUCUUGCUGUGAUUCACUGUAAAUGAAUUAAAAUGUUUGGAAGCCUGAUGUAUUACUACAUACCUAACCUAGCAUGACCUUAUAAAAAACAAGUCAUCAAAUGCUGCAGUGAAUUGCAUCUGAGGAACCUGGCAAAUCCUAAAUUAUUGAUGCUUUCUGUCAGAACAUGAGAAAUGCUAUUACUAAUCCUGCUCUCUCCAUUAAUAGAAACCAGGAUCAGAUGAGUAGGAGGGCUGGGCAGAGGCAUAGCUAGAGGCUUUGGUGUCUUCCACUUGUGAAGGGGACAAGACAGGAAGCCAGCAAGCUCGGGGUCUAUCUCCAGAAAAGCUGAAGAAGGUGCUGUUCUUAACAGCCAUUAUCAGGAUGGCUGCCACUCCUGUCUCUUCUCCCAAUAACCAUUCCCAUCUCUAUACAGAGAAGAAGUCAAUGGCAAGACUCCACCUGGCACAGAAGGGCCACAAUUUUCUGGGCUCUAUCCUCUGUGAAACAGGAGCAAAUUUUUCACAUGACUGAUUAAGAAUGAUUGACUGGCAAUUCCUAACUUAAGGUAGUAUUACCCAUUUGUGUUACAACGAGAAGAUAAGGCUGUACCAGAUACUACUCAAGUCCAAGUGCUUGACCUGGUUCCUAUCCCACACACAGGAUGAGAAUUAUUAUAGCGAUGAUAUUCAGAGGUCCCUGACUAACUAAUAUAUAUAUAUCAGGUUGUUAUAGCUCUGUUACUUAACUCUGCUGUGUUAAAAGGAAGUUUCUAGAAGGGAUACCAUUUUAAUAUGAAAUAGACAAGAUAUUUCUAUUUAUAGGCUUUGUGAUAUCUGUGUAAAACUAUACAUCAACAGAAGUGGAGAUUGGCACAAAAGCUAGUAAGCUCCCUUUAUUAUGCCAAGUAAUUAUGGCAAUAUCAAACACGUGUAAAGCAUGAAUUUGUCCAAUUUUCUGUACUUCCUAUUUAUA
rnacentral:lncRNA from 1 species